UGGCGGCAGGCCUAACACAUGCAAGUCGAGCGGAAACGAUCCUAGCUUGCUAGAAGAUGACGAGCGGCGGGCGGGUGAGUAACGCGUAGAAAUCUACCUAGUAGUGGGGGAUAGCCCAGAGAAAUUUGGAUUAAUACCGCAUACGCCCUACGGGGGAAAGCGGGGGAUCUUCGGACCUCGUGCUAUUAGAUGAGUCUGCGUCGGAUUAGCUUGUUGGUGAGGUAAUGGCUCACCAAGGCGACGAUCCGUAGCUGGUCUGAGAGGAUGACCAGCCACACUGGAACUGAGACACGGUCCAGACUCCUACGGGAGGCAGCAGUGGGGAAUAUUGCACAAUGGGCGCAAGCCUGAUGCAGCCAUGCCGCGUGUGUGAAGAAGGCCUUAGGGUUGUAAAGCACUUUCAGCAGUGAGGAAAGGGGUGUCGUUAAUAGCGCCAUCCUGUGACGUUAACUGCAGAAGAAGGACCGGCUAACUCCGUG
rnacentral:rRNA from 1 species